rnacentral:rRNA from 1 species
GUGGUAAUGCCGGAUGUUCCAGUUGAUCGCAUGGUCUUCUGGGAAAGCUUUCGCGGUAUGGGAUGGGGUCGCGUCCUAUCAGCUUGACGGCGGGGUAACGGCCCACCGUGGCUUCGACGGGUAGCCGGCCUGAGAGGGCGACCGGCCACAUUGGGACUGAGAUACGGCCCAGACUCCUACGGGAGGCAGCAGUGGGGAAUAUUGCACAAUGGGCGCAAGCCUGAUGCAGCGACGCCGCGUGAGGGAUGGAGGCCUUCGGGUUGUAAACCUCUUUUAUCGGGGAGCAAGCGUGAGUGAGUUUACCCGUUGAAUAAGCACCGGCUAACUACGUGCCAGCAGCCGCGGUAAUACGUAGGGUGCAAGCGUUAUCCGGAAUUAUUGGGCGUAAAGGGCUCGUAGGCGGUUCGUCGCGUCCGGUGUGAAAGUCCAUCGCUUAACGGUGGAUCCGCGCCGGGUACGGGCGGGCUUGAGUGCGGUAGGGGAGACUGGAAUUCCCGGUGUAACGGUGGAAUGUGUAGAUAUCGAAAAAGAAACCCCCAC